rnacentral:rRNA from 1 species
GAUGAACGCUGACAGAAUGCUUAACACAUGCAAGUCUACUUGAAUUUGGGUUUUUUAACUUCGAUUUGGGUGGCGGACGGGUGAGUAACGCGUAAAGAACUUGCCUCACAGCUAGGGACAACAUUUGGAAACGAAUGCUAAUACCUGAUAUUAUGAUUAUAGGGCAUCCUAGAAUUAUGAAAGCUAUAUGCGCUGUGAGAGAGCUUUGCGUCCCAUUAGCUAGUUGGAGAGGUAACGGCUCACCAAGGCGAUGAUGGGUAGCCGGCCUGAGAGGGUGAACGGCCACAAGGGGACUGAGACACGGCCCUUACUCCUACGGGAGGCAGCAGUGGGGAAUAUUGGACAAUGGACCGAGAGUCUGAUCCAGCAAUUCUGUGUGCCGAUGACGUUUUUCGGAAUGUAAAGUGCUUUCAGUUGGGAAGAAAAAAAUGACGGUACCAACAGAAGAAGUGACGGCUAAAUACGUGCCAGCAGCCGCGGUAAUACGUAUGUCACGGAGCGUUAUCCGGGAUGUAUUGGGGCGUAAAAGCGCGUCUAGGGGGGUUAUGUAAGUCUGAUGUGAAAAUGCAGGGCUCCAACUCCUGUAUUUGCGUUGGGAAACUGUGUAACUUAGGAGUACUGGAGAGGUAAAGCGGGAACUUACAAAGUGUAGAGGUUGAAAUUCGGUGAAUAUUUUGUAGGGAAUGCCGAUGGGGGAAGCCAGCUUACUGGACAGAUACUUGACGGCUGAAGCGCGAGAGGGGGGUGGGCAAACAGGAUUAGGUUACCCUAGUAGUCCAGGGCCGAAUUCCACAGUGGAUAUAAAGCUUUAUCGAUACCCGUCGCCCUGAGGGGGGGGGCCCGGUUUUCUAUUUUUUUGUUCCUUUUAGGGAGGGUAAAUUAGGCU